GUUACAAGUGCUUAAAGUUAUCACUUAAACAACUGGCUCAGAUGGUUCAGCACGUUGUACCUCUGGCUGCUCCCAUUUAGAGGAUGGGAGUAGAAAAAGCAAGCACCUAGAAGUUCUGACUAACAGGAAAUUGUUUGCAGAGGGGAAGAUGAUGCUUCAACAAGUCAGAGGUGACAAUUCCUGAGGCUCCAGCCGUACAGAAGAGUUUCCUCAGCCCUACACUCCAGUCUCAGUCUGUUUUGGUUUGAAAUGUCUUUUUGUUGCUGCUGCUGCAUACUCCCAAAUGACAGAGUCAAUCUCCUCCUGCUGCCUUCUGGUCAAGAUAUCAACU